UUCAUUACAAUCUAGACAAAAAUUUAUAAACAUUCAACAUCCAACAUCCAUCAAAAGCACUAAAGAAGAGGGAGGAAAAUUAGUUGUCCUAUCCUCGCCAUGUCCCCGCUGUGUCCCCAAAAAACAAAUUAAUUAAACACCAGCUGGCAUGUCCCAUAUAUGUCUACCGUGUCCCUGUUUUGUUCGACACCACUACGGCACCUGUUUUGGAGUGUAGGUGCUUCAUUGUUGUAUAGCUUUUGUCAAAAAUGAGGGAAAGUAGAUGCCCUGAUUGUUUUUGAAAGUAGUGCGUGUUGUCCGUUUCUGUUGUUAUUGUUUUCUAAUGAUUUUUUUUUAACCCCAACAGAAUGACUUGAUCCAUGCAUGGGGCUUGGAUUUCCAGCUUGGUUAUUGUGCACAGGAAAUUUUCUAAUUCCACUUCUCUGUAUGACUAUCGAUUUGUGGACGGUAGUGAUAUGUUGACCACUUUUUUUACAGGGUGAUAGGACAAAAAAUGUUGGUGUGGUUGACUGAGUAUAUAGUUCAUUUGGGUCUUCCAACACUUGGUGUUUUAGAUGGCACCAAGGAACCAUCUGGCUUGCAAAGAGUUAAUAAUAGAACUGAAGUGAGGAGACAGUCCUUUAUGGAAAUGCAGAUUUUCAAGAAAAGAUGGAACAAUGCAGUGAAGGACGACAAAUGUUGGGUCAAUCCAUAUCAACAACCUAUUGAGCAGAAAAGCCGUUAGCUUAUAAUCUAUACUACAUCUUCUUCAAUUAAACAAGGAAGAGAUAGAGCUUGGACUUUCCAAUCCAAUGAGUAUGGUGUUACCUGGUGUAGUUGGAUUCAAGUUGUCUGGAAAAUUAAACAAUGGUGUCACAGCUACUGAUUUGAUUUUAACUGUGACCCAAAUGCUAAGGAAGCAUGGUGUUGUUGGCAAAUUUGUUGAGUUCUAUGGAGAAGGCGUGGGUAAAAUAUCAUAAGCUGACAGGGCCACUAUUGCCAAUAUGUCUCCUGAGUAUGGUGCAGCAAUGAGGUUCUUUCCUGUUGACAAGGUUACUUUGCAAUAUCUGAAAUUGACUGGAAGAAGUGAUGAAAC